rnacentral:misc_RNA from 1 species
UCCGGUUUGUCACCGGCGGUCUCCCUAGAGUUCCCGGCCGAACCGCUGGCAACUAGGGACAAGGGUUGCGCUCGUUGCGGGACUUAACCCAACAUCUCACGACACGAGCUGACGACAGCCAUGCAGCACCUGUGCACGUGUCCCGAAGGAGGGCCCCUGUUUCCAGGGGCUUUCACGUGCAUGUCAAGCCCAGGUAAGGUGGGGAUGACGUCACGCAACUAACCA